rnacentral:tRNA from 1 species
AUUUCUUUAGUAUAUUGUACAAAUGCCCUCCAAGCAUAAAGUCCCAUCAGGGAAGAAAUA